AGAGUUUGAUCAUGGCUCAGGAUGAACGCNGGCGGCGUNNCUAACACAUGCAAGUCGAGCGAUNUCUUCGGAGAGAGCGGCGGACGGGUGAGUAACGCGUGGGUAACCUGCCCUGUACACACGGAUAACAUACCGAAAGGUAUACUAAUACGGGAUAACAUACGAAAGUCGCAUGGCUUUUGUAUCAAAGCUCCGGCGGUACAGGAUGGACCCGCGUCUGAUUAGCUAGUUGGUAAGGUAAUGGCUUACCAAGGCAACGAUCAGUAGCCGACCUGAGAGGGUGAUCGGCCACACUGGAACUGAGACACGGUCCAGACUCCUACGGGAGGCAGCAGUGGGGAAUAUUGCACAAUGGGCGAAAGCCUGAUGCAGCAACGCCGCGUGAGCGAUGAAGGCCUUCGGGUCGUAAAGCUCUGUCCUCAAGGAAGAUAAUGACGGUACUUGAGGAGGAAGCCCCGGCUAACUACGUGCCAGCAGCCGCGGUAAUACGUAGGGGGCUAGCGUUAUCCGGAAUUACUGGGCGUAAAGGGUGCGUAGGUGGUUUUUUAAGUCAGAAGUGAAAGGCUACGGCUCAACCGUAGUAAGCUUUUGAAACUAGAGAACUUGAGUGCAGGAGAGGAGAGUAGAAUUCCUAGUGUAGCGGUGAAAUGCGUAGAUAUUAGGAGGAAUACCAGUAGCGAAGGCGGCUCUCUGGACUGUAACUGACACUGAGGCACGAAAGCGUGGGGAGCAAACAGGAUUAGAUACCCUGGUAGUCCACGCCGUAAACGAUGAGUACUAGGUGUCGGGGGUUACCCCCCUCGGUGCCGCAGCUAACGCAUUAAGUACUCCGCCUGGGAAGUACGCUCGCAAGAGUGAAACUCAAAUGAAUUGACGG
rnacentral:rRNA from 1 species